AAAAAAUACAUAAUUUUGAAAUGUUCAUUUUUAGUUGACCUACUCUUUUAAUCAUUUAUAUAUCUUUCCUCAGUGCACUUUCUCAAGAAGAGCAAGAUGAUUCACAGCUGAAGAUUGAGGACAUUGUGCACAUGUCCGACUGUCCAAGAGUCGAAUGCUUUGAGUCGCUGUCAGUGAUGGAACUAGCAGAACAAAUCACUCUACUGGACCAUAUUGUGUUCUGGAAUAUUCCAUAUGAGGAGUUUCUUGGUCAAGGCUGGAUGAAAACAGACAAAAACGAAAGGACUCCAUACAUUAUGAAGACCAGUCAGCACUUCAAUGAUGUGGGCAAAAAUGAUAAACUAUAAACAUAUUAUUAGUAGUAGUAGUAGUAAAUUAAUAAAUAAAUUAAUUAAUAUUUGAUCAUUCUAAUAACAAAAUGCACUAUGCUUGACUAUACAGUUAUUUAAUUAAACUGCAGUCUUU